AGUAGACUGCCACUUUAUUGAUCAGGCUAACCAGGUUUGGUGCAAAGCUAAGCAAGAAAAGGGCAAAAAUAUUAUAUAUGCAAAUUUUCACAGAGAAGCUUGGUUUCAUUUUGGUUGUUUGGAACACUCCUGCUAAGGAACAAUCACUAG
rnacentral:lncRNA from 12 species